rnacentral:rRNA from 1 species
AGCAGCCGCGGUAAUUCCAGCUCCAAUAGCGUAUAUUAAAGUUGUUGCAGUUAAAAAAGCUCGUAGUUGAAUUUCGGGAUCAGUACGCUGGUCGUGCCUUUGGUAUGUACUGGUGUCACUGAUUCCUCCCUUCUGAAGAACCGUUAUGCCAUUUAUUUGGUGUGGCGGGGAAUCAGGACUGUUACUUUAGAAAAAAUUAGAGUAGUUUAAAGCAGGCUCGCGCUUGAAUACAUUAGCAUGGAAUAAUGAAAUAGGACGUUUGAUCUUAUUUUGUUGGUUUCUAGGAUCGACGUAAUGAUUAAUAGGGAUAGUUGGGGGCAUUAGUAUUCAAUUGUCAGAGGUGAAAUUCUUGGAUUUAUUGAAGACUAACUACUGCGAAAGCAUUUGCCAAGGAUGUUUUCAUUAAUCAAGAACGAAAGUUAGGGGAUCGAAGACGAUCAGAUACCGUCGUAGUCUUAACCAUAAACUAUGCCGACUAGGGAUCGGAUGAUGUUAAUUUUUAAUGA